rnacentral:rRNA from 1 species
CGGCGUGCCUAAUACAUGCAAGUAGAACGCUGAAGAGAGGAGCUUGCUCUUCUUGGAUGAGUCGCGAACGGGUGAGUAACGCGUAGGUAACCUGCCUUGUAGCGGGGGAUAACUAUUGGAAACGAUAGCUAAUACCGCAUAACAAUGGAUGACUCAUGUCAUUUAUUUGAAAGGGGCAAAUGCUCCACUACAAGAUGGACAUGCGUUGUAUUAGCUAGUAGGUGAGGUAACGGCUCACCUAGGCGACGAUACAUAGCCGACCUGAGAGGGUGAUCGGCCACACUGGGACUGAGACACGGCCCAGACUCCUACGGGAGGCAGCAGUAGGGAAUCUUCGGCAAUGGGGGCAACCCUGACCGAGCAACGCCGCGUGAGUGAAGAAGGUUUUCGGAUCGUAAAGCUCUGUUGUAAGUCAAGAACGAGUGUGAGAGUGGAAAGUUCACACUGUGACGGUAGCUUACCAGAAAGGGACGGCUAACUACGUGCCAGCAGCCGCGGUAAUACGUAGGUCCCGAGCGUUGUCCGGAUUUAUUGGGCGUAAAGCGAGCGCAGGCGGUUUGAUAAGUCUGAAGUUAAAGGCUGUGGCUCAACCAUAGUUCGCUUUGGAAACUGUCAAACUUGAGUGCAGAAGGGGAGAGUGGAAUUCCAUGUGUAGCGGUGAAAUGCGUAGAUAUAUGGAGGAACACCGGUGGCGAAAGCGGCUCUCUGGUCUGUAACUGACGCUGAGGCUCGAAAGCGUGGGGAGCGAACAGGAUUAGAUACCCUGGUAGUCCACGCCGUAAACGAUGAGUGCUAGGUGUUGGAUCCUUUCCGGGAUUCAGUGCCGCAGCUAACGCAUUAAGCACUCCGCCUGGGGAGUACGACCGCAAGGUUGAAACU